rnacentral:lncRNA from 1 species
AGCAUCCUUAACAGUUAUUCUAUUUUUCUCCAGUAAGAGAAAUGCCAAGAUUUCAGGCUGUGGACUGUGUUCCAGUGGCAAGCAGCAGAGAUCCAUGUUUAGCUUGUGUUUCCUUGUGAUUCAAGGGCCCAUGGCAUGUCUCUGGAUAAGCAGAUUGCCAUGGAUCGAGGUACUCGGCCCUGAGUGGAGAGAGUGAGGGAAUGAAGAACAGACAAACAGACAAACAGGCAGGCACAAGGAAAGCUGGGAUCAGGUAAUCUGAGCGUGGAAGGAAGGAGACGCACAGCCACGGGAGCUCAGCGUGUAUAUUAUCCAGAGGUGAAAAGGAGGUAGGGUUACUCUGAACAGCUGCACUAGGCAGUAGGGUUAAUUCCAUACAGAUAAUCAAGGAGACAGAGUUUGUGGAAUACAGCUGGGAACAGUCUUCAGACCGUACACAUCCAAGGGAAAGGCUUUAAUGAACAGUUUCCAGCACACUAUAAAUACUUGGUCUGGUUCCCUAAGAAAGGCUUUUCCAUUUACCUCUGAACUACAACCCAGGGAAAGGUGUUUUUAUUUAACCCAUGGAUUUAAGGAUGUCAUGUUCUCACCCUGUCUAUGACCAUCUUAACAUACAGUCAUUUAGGAUUUCACUCACUCAUGUGGUGUUCUGUGCGUUGUGAAAUAAAGGGGGUGGGAAAGAUCUCUCGCAUCCCGCUGGAGCUCCAGGGCUCUGGGCAGGAGGACACAAGGCACCACCGCACACUCUCCAUGAAGCCUGGGUGGGCAUCUGGCUGUGCGAAGCCAAGGAUCCCCAGUCUGCAGGGCGUGAAGAGGGAGCAGUCCCGGGUCCGUGGGUUUCACAGAAACCAGGGACAACAGAUUCUAGUUCUUGGGCAUCACAGAAUGUUACAGUAUACCACAGAAGAGCUGAGAACGGGUGGGACCCCAGGGGCUGUUAAGCCUGCCUAACACCGAAGGGAAAAGAGGGCAGGGGGAGAAGGCCCUGGGUGGUUCCCACGUGGGUGAGCGUCUGGCUAGCUCAGGCUGCUAGCUCUUUGGGCUGCUUGCAUUGGCUGGUGGCCAUGGCU